CACCAUUGUCACCUGAACCCCGUCAUUGUCACCCCAAUGUCACCAUUGUCACCUGAACCCCGUCAUUGUCACCAUCGUGUGACAAAUUCAGCGCCCAAAAAUACCAGGGGGGGACGGGGUGCUGGCAGGGACCCAACAGAGCCACCACGGUGCGUCUCCGCUGCGGUCCCAGCACCGCUCUGCUCUCGGCAUCGGAGCCGAGUCGCUGCGAGUACCUGCUGGAGCUGGAGAGCCCCGCGGCCUGCAGAGAACCACCCCGGGAACACGAGGAACACGAUGAACUGUGACCCAAAAAAUGUCCUAAAAUAUCCCAAAUUAUCCCCAAAAAUAUCCUGAAAAUACAGAAAAAAUCCCGAUUAAAAACUGACCAAAAAUACCCAAAAAAAUGGCUGAGAAAUUCCACAAAAAUCCCCAAAAUCCCUGCAGGGAACCACCCCGGGAACACGAGGAACACGAUGAACUGUGACCCAAAAAUAUCCCAAAUUAUCCCCAAAA